GCACCAGCGCCCCCGGAGACGGGGGCGGAUCGGUAAACCCCACCUGGAGAAAGGCCAAAUAGGGAGGGACCAGCGGCGCGGCUCGCGUCCAUGUCCUUCCGGGUUGGCCGUUUGAGGCGGGCGGCGACGCUCGUCCCAGAGAAAUGACUGUCGCCUGCCCCCUCGGGGACAGGUACAGAACCCGGCUUACAAGGCCUCUCGCGCC
rnacentral:RNase_P_RNA from 1 species